GGUGGCUCAGUGGUAGAGCACUUGCCUUGCAUGCAUGAGGCCGUGGGUUUGACUCCUCAGCACCA
rnacentral:tRNA from 1 species